rnacentral:rRNA from 1 species
GAUGAACGCUGGCGGCGUGCCUAAUACAUGCAAGUCGAGCGAACAGACGAGGAGCUUGCUCCUCUGACGUUAGCGGCGGACGGGUGAGUAACACGUGGAUAACCUACCUAUAAGACUGGGAUAACUUCGGGAAACCGGAGCUAAUACCGGAUAAUAUAUUGAACCGCAUGGUUCAAUAGUGAAAGACGGUUUUGCUGUCACUUAUAGAUGGAUCCGCGCCGCAUUAGCUAGUUGGUAAGGUAACGGCUUACCAAGGCAACGAUGCGUAGCCGACCUGAGAGGGUGAUCGGCCACACUGGAACUGAGACACGGUCCAGACUCCUACGGGAGGCGGCAGUAGGGAAUCUUCCGCAAUGGGCGAAAGCCUGACGGAGCAACGCCGCGUGAGUGAUGAAGGUCUUCGGAUCGUAAAACUCUGUUAUUAGGGAAGAAAAAAUGUGUAAGUAACUAUGCACGUCUUGACGGUACCUAAUCAGAAAGCCACGGCUAACUACGUG